CCCAACCGCCACCUUUAUCCUUAACAUGGUUAUAUGCAUAUAUACAUAUUUACAUAAUAAGCGAUGUUACUGUAAAAUGUAGCAGAGUCCACCCUGGCCUCUCUCCACUGCCAGGUGCCUGCAGACACUACUGGUGGCCUCCACCCCUCGCCGGGAGGGAAGGGCUGACCACGGGGAGCCACCCUGCUCCUCACUGCCGUGUUGACAGCCCCAUCGUCCCAACGACUCAGGGCGCGGAGCAAAGGUGAGAACUAGGUUUGUGUGCAGUUCAUCUACCUUCUCAUUAAACUUUAUUAUUAAUAUUUAUUUUCUUCCCAGAUCUUGUGAGUUUUUAGACAUGUGAUGCACAGUCUUUCCCCGCCUCUUCCCGUUGCCAGAUGUCUUGCCGACAGAGCUGGUGGUCACCAGCCCUUGCCGGGGCAGGAGCUGCCCACGGGAAGCCACCCUGCUUCACAAACCGCGUAAGACAACACCCCAGCCCGGCAACUCAGGGCGCGGAACAGAGGGAAAGGGAUCCCGAAUUCUCCAGGUCAAUUAUACUCGCAAUUGGUCUUUGUAUAUACAUGUAUUAAUAUUGUUUUUCCUUUUCAGGAGUGACGGAGUGUGGAGGAAGUCGAUUUUUUCACUUUGGUUUUACAACUGCCUGAGGUGAGUGUGGUAAGUGUUAUUUAUAUAUCGAUUCAGGUACAGUAUUAUAUAAAUUUAGGCUACGAGGAAAAUUCCGGUUGUAUCUAGUAAUAUUUUCUCUGUUUUCCUUCAGUUUAAUCAUAGCAUGGUGUUCAAGGUCUUCUAAUCUAUCAACAGGACCACGGCAUGCAUCAUUAUUUAUACCCUACCUCACAGGACAUCUACCAAUCAGAGUGCUAAGAAACUAUUACGCAUAUGGCAACACUAAAUCGGUGCAUACUAUUGGCUAUCAUGAACGAAAUAUUUUCAUAUCAUUCAUGCAAUUUCUUUGAAUACCGGAUUAAGGGACACUAUUCAUGUGUCAUUCCUUUACACUCCAUUUCGUUCACUUGUAGAUACCAUUUGCAAAACUUCCUGAAUAAUAUUCAUAACACAUUUUAAACACUGCAUAAGUUUGUGAUUUGUAACUCACGAGUAUCAGCCAUCAGUACUCACGAGGCGAACCGACUCCAAGACUUGGAACAGGUUCCACGCAAGGCUUAGCGAAAACGUCGGAACCGAAUCCGGAUCCGGUUCCCGCCCAGCACUACUGGUCGGUGUACUCCACUCAUUGCCAUCAGUCAACGACAUUCCAAUCAUACUGACCUUAGCAAGCACCCAGGGAGAGCAGUGCGUGGUGAUUGUAAUGAUUAUCAAUAGCAUCUCUACCUUAGUGUAUAAGUUCUGCCUUUUAUAACGUGUCUAUACAUAUUUGGAAGAACCAGCACCUUCCCAAACAGUGCGAAAAGAAUGUUGCAGCAUCACAGUUCACUGUAUGUGGCGGAGAAACUUUACAGUGUGUCAUUAUUGUCAUUCUCAAGGUCAAGGUGCAGUCAACCGCGCAAGAGGCCCUUGGAGGCAGGAGGAUGACAUCACUGUACACUGAACAGGGACUUCCCUUUCAUUUACUUUGGGAUCAUGGCAAUGGUCGAUAUGAAGCAGUUCAAGUAGCGCACGUGACUAUGGAAUUAACAAUAAUAUCCUGAAGCUAUACUCGACAAUUGACAAGUGAAGGAAGACACAACGAAGAAUUCCCUGCUGUGUUUAUCAAUAAAAAAAAAAAAAUAAAAAAAAAAUAAAAAGCUCAAGUACGUACGCAGCUGUACACAGAGUGGCGGUGUCCGGCAUCUAGUGGAAGGGAGAACUGCCAAUGGGAAGAUCCACCCACAUAAUAUCAGAACACAACAGGGUAAUGUGCUGUUAUAGUUAUUCCUUCACGUGUGGUAUCAAGAUGCUUAGGGUGGAUUUCCACAGCAUUUCCUCAUUAUGAAACAAAUAUUUUCAAUAGAAAAGAAAAUAUGACAACUAAAUUUCCUGUGAAGUUCACAUCAUAACGCAUCAGACAGUCUGCUUCCCGCCGCCACUCUUGUCGCAGCGAUGAGUGACCUCGAUUGUGGAGACGGUGACUGCGGGGACGGUGACUGUGGUGACUGCGGGGACUGCGAUUGUGGGGAGUGUGAUUGCGACUGUUGCAAUAAUGACAGCCUCUGCUGCUGGUUCUGCGUGAGCGACACGACAGAUUUAACUGAUGAUGACCGGAGGAAGAAGAAGAAAGAAAACAAAGAAGCUGACCAAGAGGAGGUGGUCACCAGCCAGCCAGGGGCCGUAUCUUUGUCAAACACCACAAACACCACCAGUGAUACUUCUUGAGGAACGCCGCGCCUACGUGGCCAUCUCUCCCACGUCAAGUUUUUUUUUUUUUAUAGGGAGCGCGGGCAUGGUUUAGCCAGCCAGAUGAGCCUGGAAAUGCUGACUCUUUUAUAUUCCAUUUGUCCAAAGCCACAAUGCCAUUACAUGUGACUUGUGACCCGACCUUGUGAUUAAGCUUGUUAAUUAUUGAGCAAGCAAGCAAUGACACGGUUUUCUCUGUGAUUUAUAUAACAUUGAGUACUAUGUCAAGUAUGAAUUAAGAGAUUACACAAAGCAAAUAUAAAUUUCA